AGGAGCUUGCUUCUCUGGAUGAGUUGCGAACGGGUGAGUAAUGUCUGGGAAGCUGCCUGAUGGAGGGGGAUAACUAUUGGAAACGGUAGCUAAUACCGCAUAAUGUCGCAAGACCAAAGAGGGGGACCUUCGGGCCUCUUGCCAUCGGAUGUGCCCAGAUGGGAUUAGCUUGUUGGUGGGGUAACGGCUCACCAAGGCGACGAUCCCUAGCUGGUCUGAGAGGAUGACCAGCCACACUGGAACUGAGACACGGUCCAGACUCCUACGGGAGGCAGCAGUGGGGAAUAUUGCACAAUGGGCGCAAGCCUGAUGCAGCCAUGCCGCGUGUAUGAAGAAGGCCUUCGGGUUGUAAAGUACUUUCAGCGGGGAGGAAGGGAGUAAAGUUAAUACCUUUGCUCAUUGACGUUACCCGCAGAAGAAGCACCGGCUAACUCCGUGCCAGCAGCCGCGGUAAUACGGAGGGUGCAAGCGUUAAUCGGAAUUACUGGGCGUAAAGCGCACGCAGGCGGUUUGUUAAGUCAGAUGUGAAUCCCCGGGCUCAACCUGGGAACUGCAUCUGAUACUGGCAAGCUUGAGUCUCGUAGAGGGGGGUAGAAUUCCAGGUGUAGCGGUGAAAUGCGUAGAGAUCUGGAGGAAUACCGGUGGCGAAGGCGGCCCCCUGGACGAAGACUGACGC
rnacentral:rRNA from 1 species